rnacentral:lncRNA from 1 species
UUUUUUGAGAGAUAGGUAGCACACUAUCCGUUUCGUUUAUUUCAUUUUAAAAUAAACUUAGCUGCAAAUGUGAAUCAACUAGAAUUCGAGCUUGGGAUUUCGGGUACCAACCACCAAGUCCUUUGCCACUUGUGCUAGAGACGGUCGGUGAGAAAAUUGAGUUAUAUAUAUGGUCGUGGGCUUGUGAUACAGAACAUAAAUUUUUAGACGUAUAUGUAGAGAUGUAAUUAAGG